GUUUCUAGGGUGUUCUCUUGGCACAUUAGAUUUUCAUUCUAAAGGAAUAAAUAAAUUUAUUAGGAAUA
rnacentral:tRNA from 1 species